rnacentral:rRNA from 1 species
AGAGUUUGAUCCUGGCUCAGAUUGAACGCUGGCGGCAGGCCUAACACAUGCAAGUCGAGCGGUAGAGAGAAGCUUGCUUCUCUUGAGAGCGGCGGACGGGUGAGUAAUGCCUAGGAAUCUGCCUGGUAGUGGGGGAUAACGUUCGGAAACGGACGCUAAUACCGCAUACGUCCUACGGGAGAAAGCAGGGGACCUUCGGGCCUUGCGCUAUCAGAUGAGCCUAGGUCGGAUUAGCUAGUUGGUGGGGUAAUGGCUCACCAAGGCGACGAUCCGUAACUGGUCUGAGAGGAUGAUCAGUCACACUGGAACUGAGACACGGUCCAGACUCCUACGGGAGGCAGCAGUGGGGAAUAUUGGACAAUGGGCGAAAGCCUGAUCCAGCCAUGCCGCGUGUGUGAAGAAGGUCUUCGGAUUGUAAAGCACUUUAAGUUGGGAGGAAGGGCAGUAAAUUAAUACUUUGCUGUUUUGACGUUACCGACAGAAUAAGCACCGGCUAACUCUGUGCCAGCAGCCGCGGUAAUACAGAGGGUGCAAGCGUUAAUCGGAAUUAC